GCGGGUGUAGCUCAGUGGUAGAGCACAACCUUGCCAAGGUUGGGGUCGAGGGUUCGAAUCCCUUCGCCCGCU
rfam:Candidatus Liberibacter africanus PTSAPSY, complete genome.